rnacentral:rRNA from 1 species
AGUGAACGCUGGCGGUAGACCUAACACAUGCAAGUCGAACGGCAGCACAGUAAGAGCUUGCUCUUGCGGGUGGCGAGUGGCGGACGGGUGAGGAAUACAUCGGAAUCUACUUUUUCGGGGGGGAUAACGUAGGGAAACUUACGCUAAUACCGCAUACGACCUACGGGUGAAAGCAGGGGAUCUUCGGACCUUGCGCGAUUGAAUGAGCCGAUGUCGGAUUAGCUAGUUGGCGGGGUAAAGGCCCACCAAGGCGACGAUCCGUAGCUGGUCUGAGAGGAUGAUCAGCCACACUGGAACUGAGACACGGUCCAGACUCCUACGGGAGGCAGCAGUGGGGAAUAUUGGACAAUGGGCGCAAGCCUGAUCCAGCCAUACCGCGUGGGUGAAGAAGGCCUUCGGGUUGUAAAGCCCUUUUGUUGGGAAAGAAAAGCAGCAGGUUAAUACCCCGCUGUUCUGACGGUACCCAAAGAAUAAGCACCGGCUAACUUCGUG